GCCGCCUUAGCUCAGUUGGUAGAGCAAUUCACUCGUAAUGAAUAGGUCUGGAGUUCGACUCUCCAAGGCGGCU
rnacentral:tRNA from 1 species